CAUGUCACCAACCCAGCAGCCCCCACCAGUAUCCAUCAUCCCUCCUCUUUUUCGUCCUGCCUGUGGAACUCAGCUGUCCCACGUGAGUGAGGAAAUAGGGGCCAAUAGAGCCUUCUAGCAAGAAGCCUUAAGUAGGAAACGUAAACACCUGCUAACUACAAUGGAUAAAUUUCACCAUCUUGCUCUAGCUGCAAAACCGGGACCGGUAUCACUGAAGUCAACCUUCCUAGAUGUAGUCCUAUGUUUAAGUUUGCUGGGCUAGGCAUUGUGGGGAAUCCCAAAUGAGCCUGAGAUGUGGAAAUGCCAACGUGGAACUUUCCUGGAAGACAUGAUACAUACAAAGGAUUCUCUCAUGCCGGUAUUUAAGAUCUGCCCGAACCUUCAUUUUCACAUCAGAUACUCAUGUCUUCUUACUUGACCAGAAAGAGAUGAUUACCACCCACCCACGGAUGGGGACAGUGAAGGAGG